rnacentral:rRNA from 1 species
GUUUGAUCCUGGGCCCAGGAAGAACGCUGGGGGGCGUGCUUACCACAUGCAAGUCGACGGAUUAACCCAUUUUCGGAUGGUUAUAGAGUGGGAACCGGGUGAGUAACACGUGACCAACCUACCUUCUACUUUGGGAUAACUCAAAGAAAUUUGUGCUAAUACCGAAUACUCCGUAAUUUCCGCAUGGUUGUUACGGGAAAGUUCCGGCGGUAGAAGAUGGGGUCACGGCCUAUUAGAUAGUUGGUGGGGUAACGGCCUACCAAGUCGAUGAUAGGUAGCCGGGUUGAGAGACUGAUCGGCCACAUUGGGACUGAGAUACGGCCCAAACUCCUACGGGAGGCAGCAGUGGGGAAUUUUGCGCAAUGGGCGAAAGCCUGACGCAGCAACGCCGCGUGCGGGAUGACGGCCUUCGGGUUGUAAACCGCUUUCAGCAGGGAAGAUAAUGACAGUACCUGCACAAGAAGCUCCGGCUAACUACGUGCCAGCAGCCGCGGUAAUACGUAGGGAGCAAGCGUUAUCCGGAUUUAUUGGGCGUAAAGCGCGCGUAGGCGGCCUACUAAGCGGAAUCUCUAAUCUGAGGGCUCAACCCCCAGCCGGAUUCCGAACUAGCAGGCUCGAGUUUGGUAGAGGAAGAUGGAAUUCCCAGUGUAGCGGUGAAAUGCGCAGAUAUUGGGAAGAACACCGAUGGCGAAGGCAGUCUUCUGGGCCAUAACUGACGCUGAGGUGCGAAAGCUAGGGGAGCAAACAGGAUUAGAUACCCUGGUAGUCCUAGCCGUAAACGAUGGGCACUAGGUGUGGGGAGGAAUACCUUUCCGUGCCGCAGCUAACGCAU